UUAUGUGUAUUCACGCAGAACUAGAUAGUUGCGCUUUAGAAAUAAGACAAGAAAUGAAAAUGUUAGUUUGAUGCAGCACAUUAAAAUGAAGAUCGUUGCUUUUCUUCUUCUGGUAUGUCUUGCCAGUCUGAUUGCUGUAUGCGACAGUUGUUGUAAAACCACUGAUGAUUAUUGCUCUGUACAUCAGGAUUGUUGCGAAGAAUAUGCUUGCAAGAUAACUGGCUUUUACGGAGAAAGGAAAUGCAAGCGUAUAGAAUAUCCUACUGUAAGCUAGAGGAACUGAAAUACAUAAGCAUGGUUUAAAAUCCAAUUUGAAAUAAAG